CUUGCAUGGAUGCAAGCUGUUUGUGGUUACCAUUAUUGAUUAUAAGGCCGCGAGCACAUCUUAUGCAUUCUUAACAAUUAUCAAUGUAUUGUGUUCUUGUACUUCUUUGUCCCUUUUUUCAAGAGCCUUCAAUUAUUCAAAUUAUUUCUAUGCUGUUUCAAGGAAACAAGAAACAGACCACCGAGCUCGUACCGAGCCCGAGCUCGAGCCCGAGCUCGGGCUCGUUCAGGAGCUCGUAAUUAAAACGAGCUUUACGAGCUCGAGCCCGAGCUUUUGCUUUACCAAGCGAGCCCGAGCCCGAGCCCAAUACAGAGCUCGUUACCGAGCCCGAGCCCGAGCCCGAGCCCGAGCUACUGUGAAACGAGCCGAGCCGAGCUUUCCCAGGCUCGGGCUCGGCUCGGCUC
rnacentral:lncRNA from 1 species